rnacentral:rRNA from 1 species
UACGUAGGGUGCAAGCGUUGUCCGGAAUUAUUGGGCGUAAAGGGCUCGUAGGCGGUCCAUCGCGUCGGGAGUGAAAAGCUGGGGCUCAACCCCAGUCCUGCUUUCGAUACGGGUGGACUAGAGGUAUGCAGGGGAGAACGGAAUUCCUGGUGUAGCGGUGAAAUGCGCAGAUAUCAGGAGGAACACCGGUGGCGAAGGCGGUUCUCUGGGCAUUACCUGACGCUGAGACGCGAAAGCGUGGGGAGCGAACAGG